AUUGAACGCUGGCGGCAGGCCUAACACAUGCAAGUCGAGCGGAGCGGCGGACGGGUGAGUAAUGCCUAGGAAUCUGCCUGGUAGUGGGGGAUAACGUCCGGAAACGGGCGCUAAUACCGCAUACUAUCAGAUGAGCCUAGGGCGGAUUAGCUAGUUGGUGGGGAAAAGGCCGACAAAGGCGACGAUACGUCACUGGUCUGGUAGGAUGAUCAGUCACACUUGAACGGAGCAACGGUCCAGACGCCUACGGGAGGCAGCAGUGGGGAAUAUUGGACAAGGGGCGAAAGCCUGAUCCAGCAAUGCCGCGUGUGUGAAGAAGGUCUUCGGAUUGUAAAGCACUUUAAGUUGGGAGGCGUUACCAACAGAAUAAGCACCGGCUAACUUCGUGCCAGCAGCCGCGGUAAUUC
rnacentral:rRNA from 1 species